rnacentral:rRNA from 1 species
GAUUAAGUUAUUAAGGGCGCACGGUGGAUGCCUUGGCACUAGAAGCCGAUGAAGGACGUUACUAACGACGAUAUGCUUUGGGGAGCUGUAAGUAAGCUUUGAUCCAGAGAUUUCCGAAUGGGGAAACCCAGCAUGAGUUAUGUCAUGUUAUCGAUAUGUGAAUACAUAGCAUAUCAGAAGGCACACCCGGAGAACUGAAACAUCUUAGUACCCGGAGGAAGAGAAAGAAAAUUCGAUUCCCUUAGUAGCGGCGAGCGAAACGGGAAGAGCCCAAACCAACAAGCUUGUUUGUUGGGGUUGUAGGACACUCUAUACGGAGUUACAAAGGACGACAUUAGACGAAUCAUCUGGAAAGAUGAAUCAAAGAAGGUAAUAAUCCUGUAGUCGAAAAUGUUGUCUCUCUUGAGUGGAUCCUGAGUACGACGGAGCACGUGAAAUUCCGUCGGAAUCUGGGAGGACCAUCUCCUAAGGCUAAAUACUCUCUAGUGACCGAUAGUGAACCAGUACCGUGAGGGAAAGGUGAAAAGCACCCGGAAGGGGAGUGAAAUAGAACCUGAAACCGUGUGCUUACAAGUAGUCAGAGCCCGUUAAUGGGUGAUGGCGUGCCUUUUGUAGAAUGAACCGGCGAGUUACGAUUUGAUGCAAGGUUAAGCAGUAAAUGUGGAGCCGUAGCGAAAGCGAGUCUGAAUAGGGCGUUUAGUAUUUGGUCGUAGACCCGAAACCAGGUGAUCUACCCUUGGUCAGGUUGAAGUUCAGGUAACACUGAAUGGAGGACCGAACCGACUUACGUUGAAAAGUGAGCGGAUGAACUGAGGGUAGCGGAGAAAUUCCAAUCGAACCUGGAGAUAGCUGGUUCUCUCCGAAAUAGCUUUAGGGCUAGCCUCAAGUGAUGAUUAUUGGAGGUAGAGCACUGUUUGGACGAGGGGCCCCUCUCGGGUUACCGAAUUCAGACAAACUCCGAAUGCCAAUUAAUUUAACUUGGGAGUCAGAACAUGGGUGAUAAGGUCCGUGUUCGAAAGGGAAACAGCCCAGACCACCAGCUAAGGUCCCAAAAUAUAUGUUAAGUGGAAAAGGAUGUGGCGUUGCCCAGACAACUAGGAUGUUGGCUUAGAAGCAGCCAUCAUUUAAAGAGUGCGUAAUAGCUCACUAGUCGAGUGACACUGCGCCGAAAAUGUACCGGGGCUAAACAUAUUACCGAAGCUGUGGAUUGUCCUUUGGACAAUGGUAGGAGAGCGUUCUAAGGGCGUUGAAGCAUGAUCGAAAGGACAUGUGGAGCGCUUAGAAGUGAGAAUGCCGGUGUGAGUAGCGAAAGACGGGUGAGAAUCCCGUCCACCGAUUGACUAAGGUUUCCAGAGGAAGGCUCGUCCGCUCUGGGUUAGUCGGGUCCUAAGCUGAGGCCGACAGGCGUAGGCGAUGGAUAACAGGUUGAUAUUCCUGUACCACCUAUAAUCGUUUUAAUCGAUGGGGGGACGCAGUAGGAUAGGCGAAGCGUGCGAUUGGAUUGCACGUCUAAGCAGUAAGGCUGAGUAUUAGGCAAAUCCGGUACUCGUUAAGGCUGAGCUGUGAUGGGGAGAAGACAUUGAGUCUUCGAGUCGUUGAUUUCACACUGCCGAGAAAAGCCUCUAGAUAGAAAAUAGGUGCCCGUACCGCAAACCGACACAGGUAGUCAAGAUGAGAAUUCUAAGGUGAGCGAGCGAACUCUCGUUAAGGAACUCGGCAAAAUGACCCCGUAACUUCGGGAGAAGGGGUGCUCUUUAGGGUUAACGCCCAGAAGAGCCGCAGUGAAUAGGCCCAAGCGACUGUUUAUCAAAAACACAGGUCUCUGCUAAACCGUAAGGUGAUGUAUAGGGGCUGACGCCUGCCCGGUGCUGGAAGGUUAAGAGGAGUGGUUAGCUUCUGCGAAGCUACGAAUCGAAGCCCCAGUAAACGGCGGCCGUAACUAUAACGGUCCUAAGGUAGCGAAAUUCCUUGUCGGGUAAGUUCCGACCCGCACGAAAGGCGUAACGAUUUGGGCACUGUCUCAACGAGAGACUCGGUGAAAUCAUAGUACCUGUGAAGAUGCAGGUUACCCGCGACAGGACGGAAAGACCCCGUGGAGCUUUACUGUAGCCUGAUAUUGAAAUUCGGCACAGCUUGUACAGGAUAGGUAGGAGCCUUUGAAACGUGAGCGCUAGCUUACGUGGAGGCGCUGGUGGGAUACUACCCUAGCUGUGUUGGCUUUCUAACCCGCACCACUUAUCGUGGUGGGAGACAGUGUCAGGCGGGCAGUUUGACUGGGGCGGUCGCCUCCUAAAAGGUAACGGAGGCGCUCAAAGGUUCCCUCAGAAUGGUUGGAAAUCAUUCAUAGAGUGUAAAGGCAUAAGGGAGCUUGACUGCGAGACCUACAAGUCGAGCAGGGUCGAAAGACGGACUUAGUGAUCCGGUGGUUCCGCAUGGAAGGGCCAUCGCUCAACGGAUAAAAGCUACCCCGGGGAUAACAGGCUUAUCUCCCCCAAGAGUUCACAUCGACGGGGAGGUUUGGCACCUCGAUGUCGGCUCAUCGCAUCCUGGGGCUGUAGUCGGUCCCAAGGGUUGGGCUGUUCGCCCAUUAAAGCGGUACGCGAGCUGGGUUCAGAACGUCGUGAGACAGUUCGGUCCCUAUCCGUCGUGGGCGUAGGAAAUUUGAGAGGAGCUGUCCUUAGUACGAGAGGACCGGGAUGGACAUACCUCUGGUGUACCAGUUGUCGUGCCAACGGCAUAGCUGGGUAGCUAUGUGUGGACGGGAUAAGUGCUGAAAGCAUCUAAGCAUGAAGCCCCCCUCAAGAUGAGAUUUCCCAACUUCGGUUAUAAGAUCCCUCAAAGAUGAUGAGGUUAAUAGGUUCGAGGUGGAAGCAUGGUGACAUGUGGAGCUGACGAAUACUAAUCGAUCGAAGACUUAAUCAA